rnacentral:rRNA from 1 species
AGUAACGGCGAGUGAAGAGGAAAGAGCUCAAAGUUGGAACCUGUUUGGCUUAGCUAAACCGGAUUGUAAACUGUAGAAGUGUUUUCCAGACACGCCUGGUAAAAAAGUCCUUUGGAACAGGGCAUCAUAGAGGGUGAGAAUCCCGUCUUUGGCCAGAGCUGUUGUCUUUUGUGAUACAUUUUCAAAGAGUCAGGUUGUUUGGGAAUGCAGCCUAAAUUGGGUGGUAAAUCUCACCUAAAGCUAAAUAUUUGCGAGAGACCGAUAGCGAACAAGUACCGUGAGGGAAAGAUGAAAAGAACUUUGAAAAGAGAGUUAAACAGUAUGUGAAAUUGUUAAAAGGGAACCGUUUGGAGCCAGACUGGCUUGACUGUAAUCAAUCUAGGCUUCGGCCUGGAUGCACUUGCGGUUUAUGCCUGCCAACGACAAUUUUUUUUGAGGGAAAAAACUAUUUGGAAUGUGGCCCUCCCUCGGGGGGGUGUUAUAGCCUUUUAGAAAAUACCUUGAAUUGGAUUGAGGAACGCAGUGAAUGCCUUUAGGCAAGAUUGCUGGGCGCUUUCGCUAAUAAAUGCUAGAAUUUCUGCUUCGGGUGGUGCUAGUGUUUAAAGGAGAAACUCGUCUGGUAUA